rnacentral:lncRNA from 1 species
CCCAGCCCUCAUCAGUGCUCUUGGAAUUCUAUGGUAUCUGGUUUUGCUCAGCAGAGGCGGAACUAGGGGGGGUCGAGGGGGGGCAUAUGACCCCCCUGGAAUCUCCCGCGGCGAGGGAGAGAGAGUGAAAAAAGAGUGCCUGAACUUGAUGAACUGAACUGAAGGGGGUUUAAGAAGAGCAGAGAUUUGGUCUGCGAAUUGGGCCUCCGAUCUGGAUGUUUGAUAGGUUGUGGGUUCCUCGAAAGGGAUAGUUCCGCUGGCGGGGUUUGCUUUUCUGGUGGUUCUGCUUGCUCGGAUGGUUCCUCUCCAUCUGUGUGUUUUUCCAAUUGGAAUUUUUCCGGCUGGUUCAUGCUGAUGGUUGUAGGUGGGGCCCACAUGGGCAUGUAUGACCUAUGAUAGAGAUGACAUACGGAGCCCACUUGCUUUUAUUUCAAAUUUCAAAAUUUUGGGCUGGUUGCUUUUGGAAUCUCCCGACCUUUGCUCUUGUUUGCUGAUGGGUUUUACUCAAACUGACAUAUGCUUUGGGCCAUUAUCAAAUGAACUGCUGGAUUUUUCUAGCUGAAGGAUGCUGACUGGGCCGUGUAGUAAUGGACCAUGCCUGGACACUCUAAUUUUAUGGUGUUUUCAUUUGUCUAGUUCUAGGGUGUGCAGUAUUAUGUAAUUAGACUACACAAUUAUA